rnacentral:tRNA from 1 species
CCAGCCAUAGCUCAGUUGGUAGAGCGGAGGACUGUAGAGUGCAAGCUGAUAUCCUUAGGUCGCUGGUUCGAAUCCGGCUGGCUGGA